rnacentral:lncRNA from 1 species
GAACAGGCGGUGGCUCGGGUGGUUGCUGUCCUUGAUGAUCUUUUUGGCCUUCCUGUGACAUCGGGUGGUGUAGAUGUCCUGGAGGGCACCGGUUUUGACUAGCAGAAGUUGCUUUUCUUAGCAGGUUACGAGAAUUAACGCAGCAGGUUAGGAUAAUUAGGUAAAGAUUAGCUAAAAUGCUAACAAUGUCCUCGACGCGACUCGAACCUAUCUACAACCAGGCCUGCCUUGAGAACAGACUUGAUUUACACUAAUGCGAUGCUCUGCGUCAAAUGGUCUGUGAGGGAAGACUCUUGAGAACAUAAGCUUUCUGUUCUACUCGAGCUAUUUUAUUUUGUAUUUUCAUGGACAAGUCUAAAUAUUUUUGAGCAGCUGCUAGCUGGAGGACAUGAAAUACCAUUUGACGCCAAUACAGUGCCGGGAAUUGCUUCAGUCCUUCAACCAAAGAGAAAAUUAAGAAUGGAUAUGAUCUGUAACAAUGGAUAGGACACGUGUCCACCUCCAAGCAUCAGUGUCCUCCAGGAACAGUGGCCUUUCCUUUUCACCAAGUUAUGGCUCUGCGACCACUUCAAUACUUGUGAUUGACAGUCACCUGACUCAAGCUCUCCUGAACAAGGGUAAGAGAAUUGUAAACUUUUUUAAAAGCCAAAAGACCAAGUUGAGGAGAGAGAUCCAGUGCCUGCUAAAUGAAACCGACAGUUACAUCAAAGGCAAUGACGAUCUAACAGCCACUGCUGCCAUUCUUUUGUUGAUGACCCAGAGGACGAC